GGCUGGGGCCAUGGUGCUGCUGCUCCUGCUCAUCAUCUGCCUCAGCAUCCGCUGCCUCCGCCGCACCACGCCGAUGGGCCACCAGCCUGGGACCACAGAGCCGCCUGCGCCACGGGAGGAUGAGGAAGAGCUGCAGUACGCCCAGCUGAGGUUCGCUGCCCCAGCCAGGCGCACGCCCUGACCCGCAGCCGGACGCGGUGACAGCCCCGACCCCAGAGCUCGUCCCUCCGUGCCCGAACCCCCCCGGCAUGGCGCUGUUGAACCCCCCCCAUCCCGCGGCGCUGGGGCGGCUGCACCCGCUUUGCGGCCAAGGACGAAAUAAAGAGGUUUGGGCUUCGGCGGCAGCAGCCUGGCUCGAUGGCGCGGUUGUGCCCAGCGUGUCAUAGAAUCAUGGAAUCAUAGAAUGGUUUGGGUGGGCAGGGACCUCACAGC